rnacentral:rRNA from 1 species
GCAUCUAGAUUAGGGUUUGAUCCUGGCUCAGAUUGAACGCUGGCGGCAGGCCUAACACAUGCAAGUCGAGCGGUAGCACAGAGAGCUUGCUCUCGGGUGACGAGCGGCGGACGGGUGAGUAAUGUCUGGGAAACUGCCUGAUGGAGGGGGAUAACUACUGGAAACGGUAGCUAAUACCGCAUAACGUCGCAAGACCAAAGUGGGGGACCCUCGGGCCUCAUGCCAUCAGAUGUGCCCAGAUGGGAUUAGCUAGUAGGUGGGGUAAUGGCUCACCUAGGCGACGAUCCCUAGCUGGUCUGAGAGGAUGACAAGCCACACUGGAACUGAGACACGGUCCAGACUCCUACGGGAGGCAGCAGUGGGGAAUAUUGCACAAUGGGCGCAAGCCUGAUGCAGCCAUGCCGCGUGUAUGAAGAAGGCCUUCGGGUUGUAAAGUACUUUCAGCGAGGAGGAAGGCAUUAAGGUUAAUAACCUUGGUGAUUGACGUUACUCGCAGAAGAAGCACCGGCUAACUCCGUGCCAGCAGCCGCGGUAAUACGGAGGGUGCAAGCGUUAAUCGGAAUUACUGGGCGUAAAGCGCACGCAGGCGGUCUGUCAAGUCGGAUGUGAAAUCCCCGGGCUCAACCUGGGAACUGCAUUCGAAACUGGCAGGCUAGAGUCUUGUAGAGGGGGGUAGAAUUUCAGGUGUAGCGGUGAAAUGCGUAGAGAUCUGGAGGAAUACCGGUGGCGAAGGCGGCCCCCUGGACAAAGACUGACGCUCAGGUGCGAAAGCGUGGGGAGCAAACAGGAUUAGAUACCCUGGUAGUCCACGCCGUAAACGAUGUCGACUUGGAGGUUGUGCCCUUGAGGCGUGGCUUCCGGAGCUAACGCGUUAAGUCGACCGCCUGGGGAGUACGGCCGCAAGGUUAAAACUCAAAUGAAUUGACGGGGGCCCGCACAAGCGGUGGAGCAUGUGGUUUAAUUCGAUGCAACGCGAAGAACCUUACCUACUCUUGACAUCCAGAGAACUUAGCAGAGAUGCUUUGGUGCCUUCGGGAACUCUGAGACAGGUGCUGCAUGGCUGUCGUCAGCUCGUGUUGUGAAAUGUUGGGUUAAGUCCCGCAACGAGCGCAACCCUUAUCCUUUGUUGCCAGCGGUCCGGCCGGGAACUCAAAGGAGACUGCCAGUGAUAAACUGGAGGAAGGUGGGGAUGACGUCAAGUCAUCAUGGCCCUUACGAGUAGGGCUACACACGUGCUACAAUGGCAUAUACAAAGAGAAGCGACCUCGCGAGAGCAAGCGGACCUCAUAAAGUAUGUCGUAGUCCGGAUUGGAGUCUGCAACUCGACUCCAUGAAGUCGGAAUCGCUAGUAAUCGUAGAUCAGAAUGCUACGGUGAAUACGUUCCCGGGCCUUGUACACACCGCCCGUCACACCAUGGGAGUGGGUUGCAAAAGAAGUAGGUAGCUUAACCUUCGGGAGGGCGCUUACCACUUUGUGAUUCAUGACUGGGGUGAAGUCGUAACAAGGUAGCCGA